UUACGACCAUAUCCCGUUGAAAUACCGUUUUUCGUACGAUCACCAAAGGUAAGCAACGUUGAGCAUGGUCAGUACCUAGAUGGGUGACAGUUUGGGAAUACCAGGUGCUGUAAG